UACUAUCUGUUUGUGACCCCCCGUAAGACCAGGAAGGGGGCCGCAGACACCGAGCCUUCCGCCAUGCCCAUGGGAUCAGUCCGUAUGCCAGUUCCAGCUGGGGAAAAUGUGGCAGCACUGGAGAGUACCACCAUCCCUCCUCCACAGUCCCUCCCAGUGGAGGCCCCGGAUGAGGCCCCUCCUAUCCCCGUGCCACCUGUGCCCCCUACAACACCUGUGGUGAGCGGCGCCUUUGUUCGCUCCC